GGGGUGGUAGUUAAGUUGGUUAUAACGCUCGCCUGUCACGCGAGAGGCCGCGGGUUCGAGUCCCGUCCACCCCGCCA
rnacentral:tRNA from 1 species